rnacentral:rRNA from 1 species
GACGAACGCUGGCGGCGUGCUUAACACAUGCAAGUCGAACGGAAAGGCCCUGCUUUUGUGGGGUGCUCGAGUGGCGAACGGGUGAGUAACACGUGAGUAACCUGCCCUUGACUUUGGGAUAACUUCAGGAAACUGGGGCUAAUACCGGAUAGGAUCUCCUGCUGCAUGGUGGGGGUUGGAAAGUUUCGGCGGUUGGGGAUGGACUCGCGGCUUAUCAGCUUGUUGGUGGGGUAGUGGCUUACCAAGGCUUUGACGGGUAGCCGGCCUGAGAGGGUGACCGGCCACACUGGGAUUGAGAUACGGCCCAGACUCCUACGGGAGGCAGCAGUGGGGAAUAUUGCACAAUGGGCGGAAGCCUGAUGCAGCAACGCCGCGUGCGGGAUGACGGCCUUCGGGUUGUAAACCGCUUUCGCCUGUGACGAAGCGUGAGUGACGGUAAUGGGUAAAGAAGCACCGGCUAACUACGUG